rnacentral:tRNA from 22 species
GGGGAAUUGGCAGAGUGGUUGAAUGCACCGGUCUUGAAAACCGGCGAACGUGAGAGCGUUCCCAGGGUUCGAAUCCCUGGUUCCCCGCCA